GAAUCUUGCACAAUGGGGGAAACCCUGAUGCAGCGACGCCGCGUGAGCGAUGAAGCCCUUCGGGGUGUAAAGCUCUUUCGGCAGGGAAGAUGAUGACGGUACCUGCAGAAGCAGCUGCGGCUAACUACGUGCCAGCAGCCGCGGUAAUACGUAGGCAGCGAGCGUUGUUCGGAGUUACUGGGCGUAGAGGGUGUGUAGGCGGCUUUCUAAGUUUGGUGUGAAAUCUCCCGGCUCAACCGGGAGGGUGCGCCGAAAACUGGGAGGCUAGAGUGUGGGAUGGGAGAGUAGAAUUCCUGGUGUAGCGGUGAAAUGCGUAGAUAUCAGGAGGAAUACCGGUGGUGUAGACGGCUCUCUGGACCGCAACUGACGCUGAGACACGAAAGCGUGGGUAGCAAACAGGAUUAGAUACCCUGGUAGUCCACGCCCUAAACGAUGCAUAUUUGGUGUAGGUCAUUCAGUUGAUCUGUGCCGGAGCUAACGCGUUAAAUAUGCCGCCUGGGGAGUACAGUCGCAAGGC
rnacentral:rRNA from 1 species